AUUGAACGCUGGCGGAAUGCUUUACACAUGCAAGUCGAACGGCAGCACGGACUUCGGUCUGGUAGCGAGUGGCGAACGGGUGAGUAAUGUAUCGGAACGUGCCCAGUCGUGGGGGAUAACGUAGUGAAAAUUACGCUAAUACCGCAUACGAUCUAUGGAUGAAAGCGGGGGAUCGCAAGACCUCGCGCGAUUGGAGCGGCCGAUAUCAGAUUAGGUAGUUGGUGGGGUAAAGGCCCACCAAGCCAACGAUCUGUAGCUGGUCUGAGAGGACGACCAGCCACACUGGAACUGAGACACGGUCCAGACUCCUACGGGAGGCAGCAGUGGGGAAUUUUGGACAAUGGGCGAAAGCCUGACCCAGCCAUUCCGCGUGCAGGAUGAAGGCCCUCGGGUUGUAAACUGCUUUUGUACAGAACGAAAAGGUUUCUACUAAUACUAGGAGCUCAUGACGGUACUGUAAGAAUAAGCACCGGCUAACUACGUGCCAGCAGCCGCGGUAA
rnacentral:rRNA from 1 species